UCCAUCUCUGGAAGUUAGCAAUCGCAAGUGUGUCAGAGAGGCAGAGACAGUUACAGUUAGGGAAUUGGAUAUGACUACAUUGACAGCAUCCAGCAGGUGUCUGCUCUCUUCCUAUCGUCAGGCUGCAGCUGUUUGCAUCUGCCAACAUUUUCCUGUCUUGCUGGGGUUUAUAAAAGCACAUGGGAGGGAGCUAAACAAGGAGGGGUUGUUCAAUCACAAAUGGAACAGAGGUGAACCUGUGACUAUCUAAAGUACACAAAUAAACUGUGAGUGAAGUAUUUCACUAAGCAUUUG